UAACGAAUCUUGGGCAAUGGGCGCAAGCCUGACCCAGCAAUGCCGCGUGCAGGAGGAAGCCCUUCGGGGUGUAAACUGCUGUCAGGGGUUAGCAAGCAAAGGGUGUUAACAGCGCCCGGCGUUGAGCAGCCCCAGAGGAAGCAUCGACUAACUCUGUGCCAGCAGUCGCGGUAAUACAGAGGAUGCUAGCGUUGUUCGGAAUCACUGGGCUUAAAGCGGGUGUAGGCGGCCGCGCAAGUGUCUGGUGAAAGCCCCCGGCUCAACCGGGGAACUGCUGGGCAAACUGCGGGGCUUGAGGUCGGUAGAGGUGCCUGGAACUCUAGGUGGAGCGGUGAAAUGCGUAGAUAUCUAGAGGAACGCCGGAGGCGAAAGCGGGGCACUGGGCCGAUUCUGACGCUGAGACCCGAAAGCGUGGGGAGCAAACA
rnacentral:rRNA from 1 species